rnacentral:rRNA from 1 species
UACGUAGGAGGCAAGCGUUGUCCGGAAUUACUGGGUGUAAAGCGCGUGUAGGCGGCAGGCCAAGUCUGUGGUGAAAUCGCUCGGCUCAACUGGGCGGGGUCCAUGGAAACUGGUCAGCUGGAGGACGGUAGAGGUGAGUGGAAUUCCCGGUGUAGUGGUGAAAUGCGUAGAUAUGUGGAGGAACACCGAUGGCGAAGGCAGCCUUCUGGGCCAACACUGACGCUCAUGCACGAAAGCGUGGGGAGCAAACAGG